UGGGGGAUAUUGCACAAUGGGCGAAAGCCUGAUGCAGCGACGCCGCGUGGGGGAUGAAGGCCUUCGGGUUGUAAACUUCUUUUGCUCUGAACAAGGCGCACCAUGGGGUGUGUUGAGUGUAGGGGUUGAUUAGCGCCGGCUAACUACGUGCCAGCAGCCGCGGUAAUACGUAGGGCGCGAGCGCUGUCCGGAAUUAUUGGGCGUAAAGGGCUUGUAGGUGGCUGGUUGCGUCUGUCGUGAAAGCUCAUGGCUUAACUGUGGGUUUGCGGUGGGUACGGGCUGGCUUGAGUGCAGUAGGGGAGGCUGGAAUUCCUGGUGUAGCGGUGGAAUGCGCAGAUAUCAGGAGGAAUACCGGUGGCGAAGGCGGGUCUCUGGGCUGUUACUGACACUGAGGAGCGAAAGCAUGGGGAGCGAACAGG
rnacentral:rRNA from 1 species